GACGAACGCUGGCGGCGUGCUUAACACAUGCAAGUCGAACGUGAUUUUUGUGGAAAUUCUUUCGGGAAUGGAAAUGAAAUGAAAGUGGCGAACGGGUGAGUAACACGUGAGCAACCUACCUUACACAGGGGGAUAGCCGUUGGAAACGACGAUUAAUACCGCAUGAGACCACAGAAUCGCAUGAUAUAGGGGUCAAAGAUUUAUCGGUGUAAGAAGGGCUCGCGUCUGAUUAGCUAGUUGGAAGGGUAAAGGCCUACCUAGGCAACGAUACAUAGCCGACCUGAGAGGGUGAUCGGCCACACUGGGACUGAGACACGGCCCAGACUCCUACGGGAGGCAGCAGUAGGGAAUCUUCGGCAAUGGGGGGAACCCUGACCGAGCAACGCCGCGUGAGUGAAGAAGGUUUUCGGAUCGUAAAGCUCUGUUGUUAAGGAAGAACGAGUGUGAGAAUGGAAAGUUCAUACUGUGACGGUACUUAACCAGAAAGGGACGGCUAACUACGUGCCAGCAGCCGCGGUAAUACGUAGGUCCCGAGCGUUGUCCGGAUUUAUUGGGCGUAAAGCGAGCGCAGGCGGUUAGAAAAGUCUGAAGUGAAAGGCAGUGGCUCAACCAUUGUAGGCUUUGGAAACUGUUUAACUUGAGUGCAGAAGGGGAGAGUGGAAUUCCAUGUGUAGCGGUGAAAUGCGUAGAUAUAUGGAGGAACACCGGUGGCGAAAGCGGCUCUCUGGUCUGUAACUGACGCUGAGGCUCGAAAGCGUGGGGAGCGAACAGG
rnacentral:rRNA from 1 species